UACGGAGGGUGCAAGCGUUAAUCGGAAUUACUGGGCGUAAAGAGUGCGUAGGUGGUUUUGUGUGUUAGAUGUGAAAUCCAUGGGCUUAACCUGUGAAUUGCAUUUAAAACUGCAAGGCUAGAGUGUUGUAGAGGGUGGCGGAAUUUCCAGUGUAGCGGUGAAAUGCGUAGAUAUUGGAAGGAACACCAGUGGCGAAGGCGGCCACCUGGACAAACACUGACACUGAGGUACGAAAGCGUGGGGAGCAAACAGG
rnacentral:rRNA from 1 species